rnacentral:rRNA from 1 species
CGUAACAAGGUUUCCGUAGGUGAACCUGCGGAAGGAUCAUUACCGAGUUUUGAAAGGGGUUGUAGCUGGCCUUACGAUGCAUGUGCACGCCCCGCUCAUCCACUCUACACCUGUGCACUCUCUGUAGGUCGGUUUGGAUCGGACGCCUCUCGCGGGGCGAUCGGUUCGGGCCUGCCUAUGUAUUCUAUACAAACACUUUAUAGUCUCAGAAUGUCAACGCGGUAAAACGCAUCUUAUAUACAACUUUCAGCAACGGAUCUCUUGGUUCUCGCAUCGAUGAAGAACGCAGCGAAAUGCGAUAAGUAAUGUGAAUUGCAGAAUUCAGUGAAUCAUCGAAUCUUUGAACGCACCUUGCGCCCUCUGGUAUUCCGGAGGGCAUGCCCGUUUGAGUGUCAUGGUAUCCUCAACUCGUACGUCCUUGUGACGGACGAGCUUGGACUUGGAGGUCUUUGCAGGCGUUUGUUCGUCUGCUCCUCUCGAAUGCAUUAGCUCGAAUUCCGUGCGGAUCGGCUCCCGGUGUGAUAAUUGUCUACGCCGUGGUCGUGAAGCGUUUGGCGAGCUUACAACCGUCCUUAACUGCGACAACCUUUUUUGACAUCUGACCUCAAAUCGGGCAGGACUACCCGCUGAACUUAAGCAUAUCAU